AGAGACAUCCUGAUUCGUAGGAGACAAAGGCUUGGAGGACUGAUGUGAGAGUCCCGCAGAUGCAGGAGUUGUGUUUCGUGAACUGUUCUACCAUCAGCAUGGCACACAUGCUUCUUUUUUCCUUUAACAGAAGCAGCACGGAAAUGCACAAGGAGCAGAGGAAGGGUGUGGUCCAUCCCGGACAGGCUGAGCUCUUAUGCUGAAGAUCGCCACCCAGUGGGGACACGGGAAAUUCCAGCCCAGGGUGCCCAGCUGUGACCUAAUGAGGAAGCCUGUGGAUGGGUGAGUCAGGAGAGGGGAAGAGUCUAGAAGCGCCCAAGGAAGGCGAAGGCAAGCCCACCAAAGACUGAGCUACAUUACCUGAAGGCAAAGGACAGGCCCACAAAGAAACAGAGACUCACAGAGCAGAAGCAUGGCAUUUUCCCAAAGGUGAAAGAAGAUCAAAACAUCUGCUAUCUGUUGGGUUUAACAACAAACACAGAAGGCAAACCCCUUGGUGAAGAUGACAGAAAGCUGGCUAACAUAAGAGUCACUGAAGACUUUCAUCUUUCCUCUAAUAAAAUGGAGUCAGACAUUGUGCUGGCUGGUUUUGAGGGUCAACUUGACUGACAAGAAGCUCAAGCCAGAGAGGAGGGAGCCUCAGUUGAGGAAAUGCCUCCAUGAGAUCCAGCUGUGAGACAUUUUCUCAUUAGUGAUCAACGAGGGAGCCUAAUAAGGAGAGUGCUGUCCCUGGUCUGGUGGUCCUGGGUUCUAUGAGAAAGAAAGCUGCUAAGCCAUGUUAAACAAGCCAGUUACCAGCACCCCUCCAUGCCCCCUGCACAGCUCCUGCCUGCAGGCUCCAGCCCUGCUUUAGUUCCUGUCCUGACUUCCUCCAAUGAUGGACCAUGAUCUGGAAGUGUAAGCUAAAUAAAGCCUUUCCUCCCCAA
rnacentral:lncRNA from 1 species